AGAGGGCAAAGCAUUUGAAUUCAAGACCUCCUAUUUAAGAAGAGAUGCAGUAACAAACUACCUUAAUGACUCAGUGGCAGGGAUGUUAUAAGUGGUAAGACUAUUUACUAAUAGUUGAGGAUUUUGGAAUUAUCAGCGAACAGAAAGCAACCAACUUGGCAACUUAUAAAUGAAAAGAAACAAAAGAACAAAUACAAAACAUCAACAGUGAUUGCCAGAAGCAUUCAGUUUUGCAUGCCCAAUCAAAAUUUUUCUGGUUCAACCAACUCUUUUUAAUUUUUAUGUACCCAUUAGCAUCCAGACGCAUUAGUCCAAUCAGGAAAAUCUUUUAAAGUCCACCUUGUUUACAUGACGCCACCAUAUGUAAUACUAAUGCAAAAUCCUGUAGUCAUUAUAACAUUUACAAAACUGGAAACGGGGCUCCACAGACAUUAGUAAUGCAAAAUCCCCAUCUGUAAUCAUGGUCAAACAAAGAUUUCACAUUUUGUGAAACCCAAUAAAACACUGUCGAUCUUAUAGCUAGCUAUAUUUGUU
rnacentral:misc_RNA from 1 species